AUUGAACGCUGGCGGCAGGCUUAACACAUGCAAGUCGAGCGAGCGGCGGACGGGUGAGUAAUGUCUGGGAAACUGCCUGAUGGAGGGGGAUAACUACUGGAAACGGUAGCUAAUACCGCAUACCAUCAGAUGUGCCCAGAUGGGAUUAGCUAGUAGGUGGGGUAAUGGCUCACCUAGGCGACGAUCCCUAGCUGGUCUGAGAGGAUGACCAGCCAAACUGGAACUGAAGCACGGGCCAGGAUCCUAAGGGAGGCAGCAGGGGGGAAAAAUGGACAAUGGGCGCAAGCCUGAUGCGGCCAUGCCGCGUGUGUGAAAAAGGCCUUCGGGUUGUAAAGCACGUUCAGCGAGGAGGCGUUACUCGCAGGAGAAGGACCGGCUAACUCCGUGCCAACAGCCGCGGUAAUAC
rnacentral:rRNA from 1 species